UGAGGCAUCAGUCGAACGCGCGAAUUCGUGCGGUACACCUCCGUGCGGUCGUACUAAAAAAAAAAAAAAAGAUUUAUGUCUUUUCGCUCCGAGAUCAAGCGAGCGGAAAGCGCAUAAAUCUUCCUUAAUAUCACGUUUCUUCGUCCUUCAAGGGCCUACCCCGGCGCGGGAUUGUCAAUCUAUCUUGAAAGAUUUCCCUACGUCAACCUGAAGGGCGUCAAAAGAAUUUGCUUUGGACAUGCAUUGGACGAAGAUAACAUGAGGUUCUCGUGCUUUCCGAGAGCCAAUAUCCUCGGGCAGAGGGGUAGCAUCAAUCUCACCCCUCUGCCGGGCUACGAGGACUCUUCCAGCUUCACUAUAGGCGUCAUACGCCCGUUACCUGGUAACUUGCCUUCGUUAACUGUAAAUGGCACCGGUCCAACAUCGUCCGCAUCAUCAAC